rnacentral:rRNA from 1 species
UACGGAGGGUGCAAGCGUUGCUCGGAAUUAUUGGGCGUAAAGGGUAGGUAGGUGGUCUCAUUUGUCUGGGGUGAAAGCCUUGAGCUUAACUCAAGAAGUGCCCCAGAAACGGUGAGACUAGAGUCCUGGAGAGGGUCGUGGAAUUCCCGGUGUAGCGGUGAAAUGCGUAGAGAUCGGGAGGAACACCUGUGGCGAAGGCGGCCCCCUGGGCCGGCCCUGACACUGAGACGCGAAGGCGUGGGGAGCGAACGGG